ACAGAACGCAGCUAGUCGCCAGUAGUCCGCCAGCUCUGAACGGAGCAAUUUCCAGCUGGGAGUGUUUGCAAUCCUGGUACUGGGGUACUGGUACCCGAGAAUCAUACAAGUAAAACGGCUAAGAAAGGUGUCGACUGUCAGAUACCCAUCUAUUCUUAACUUUAGUGAUUGCAGCAACUCUAAGCGCUUAUGGCGAACAUUAUUAUUUAUCAAAAGUAUAUUGAAAAAAAAAAAACCAUAGUUGUCAGACAUCAAACAUCAGUUAUGUAGAAUAAUGUUUAUUCUGACAUAAACUGCAUAUACCCUUCUUCUGCACACAUCCACGAUUCCACAAGGCAAAUAUGUCCUGCAAUGAGAAAACAGCGCUUCUGGCAUCGCAACAAGGACAUCAGAAGCGGCAGCAACAGCACAUCAUUGUCGUGCCCGCGACGGAGAAGGACUCAAAGGAUUAUGAGCCCAUUUUCACAACUGCUGACUAUUCCUACGGUCUGACUCUCGAGGAGCUUCUGCCCUUCGCUCUGGAUCCCUGGUGGCAAACCGUGCGGCGCCUCAGCUGCGGGGUCCUGGGCCUGACUUUCCUGCUGACCCUGAUUGCUGGUCUGGUUAUGGCCUUUUCCGGCAGAGUCUGUCAGCCUAAUAGAGCAAUUAGUGAAAACGCGACCAUGACAACGAUGGCCACGCCACUAUCCUUGGCUCUCAACGGCUCGCAACUGCUGAUGGCCAGUUCCUAAUGGCCGCAAGGUAAUCUGCGUAGCAUUUUGGAGAUGCCGCAAUCCACCGGGCGCAAUUGCAUCAGCCGCAUCAGCUCGCACUACUGGCAUUUGUUUGGCCUGCCGGUACUGGAUCCGACCUAAUCCCCCAUAGCCUCUAGCCCAGUUUCUAGCUGAGUGAUAAGCGACGCACCGCAAAAUUGAUUGGUUGCGGAAUAAUUAUACUGAUUAAUUUAUUUGCUAUACAAUCCCGUACUCGUAAGCAUCCCCCCGUAAGCAUCAGUUAAUAGGAAGUGUUUCCGAUAAUUACACUAAGUACACAUACAUACGUCGGUUCCAUUACGGCGAAUUCCAUGGAGUUCGGAAACUUGAGCUGUAUAGUUGGAUAAUAAGCAUGCAGAUUCUAGGGACGCCUAAUUUGUGCAAUUAUAUUUUAUGUUUUAUGUUGAA